rnacentral:rRNA from 1 species
GACGAACGCUGGCGGCGUGCUUAACACAUGCAAGUCGAACGGAAAGGCCCUGCUUUUGUGGGGUGCUCGAGUGGCGAACGGGUGAGUAACACGUGAGUAACCUGCCCUUGACUUUGGGAUAACUUCAGGAAACUGGGGCUAAUACCGGAUAGGAGCUCCUGCUGCAUGGUGGGGGUUGGAAAGUUUCGGCGGUUGGGGAUGGACUCACGGCUUAUCAGCUUGUUGGUGGGGUAGUGGCUUACCAAGGGUUUGACGGGUAGCCGGCCUGAGAGGGUGACCGGCCACAUUGGGACUGAGAUACGGCCCAGACUCCUACGGGAGGCAGCAGUGGGGAAUAUUGCACAAUGGGCGGAAGCCUGAUGAAGAAACGCCGCGUGCGGGAUGACGGCCUUCGGGUUGUAAACCGCUUUCGCCUGUGACGAAGCGUGAGUGACGGUAAUGGGUAAAGAAGCACCGGCUAACUACGUG